UACAGAGGGUGCGAGCGUUAAUCGGAAUUACUGGGCGUAAAGCGCACGUAGGCGGCUUGGUAUGUCGGGUGUGAAAUCCCCGGGCUCAACCUGGGAACUGCAUCCGAAACUGCCUUGCUCGAGUAUGGGAGAGGGAAGUGGAAUUUCCGGUGUAGCGGUGAAAUGCGUAGAUAUCUGGAGGAACACCGGUGGCGAAGGCGGCAUCCUGGACCAAUAUUGACGCUGAGGAGCGAAAGCCAGGGGAGCAAACGGG
rnacentral:rRNA from 1 species